rnacentral:misc_RNA from 1 species
CUGAGGAGCAGCAGCGGCAGCCGGCGCACCUCUCUUUCUCCGCCUUCCCCACCACCACCAUGUCGCGGGAUCGGUUCCGUAGCCGUGGAGGCGGCGGAGGGGGCUUCCAUCGGCGCGGCGGCGGCGGUGGCCGCGGCGGCCCCAACCACGAUUUCCGUUCUCCGCCGCCCGGCAUGGGCAUUGGCCAGAACCGCGGGCCUAUGGGGGG